AUGUUGAUGUUGCACAGACGGAAAGUUUGAACGAGAGUGUCACGAACUUGGGGAUCAUGAUAUAAUCUGAUUAUUAGCUUGGGAUGGAAGAAGAUGAAGACAUUUUAAAGACCGUUGCUGCAUAAGCCAUUACCUGAUAUGAUUUUCACAGCCCUGUCAUUUGGUAAAAGUGGAUAUACAUAUAUAGAUGCCUAGCUAAUCAGUCACUAGGCUUGUGAAUAUGGAAUCCGGAUGCUCACAAGAUUUAAGACAAGAACUGUAUGAAAAAAAAACUG